rnacentral:hammerhead_ribozyme from 1 species
AUCCAUCUGACGAGUCCCAAACAGGAUGAAACGCGCAUCCUGGAU